rnacentral:rRNA from 1 species
UGUACGGUAUCAGAUAGUUGGUGAGGUAAUGGCUCACCAAGUCAAUGACGCCUAACUGGUUUGAGAGGAUGAUCAGUCACACUGGAACUGAGACACGGUCCAGACUCCUACGGGAGGCAGCAGUGGGGAAUAUUGCACAGUGGAGGAAACUCUGAUGCAGCCACGCCGCGUGGAGGAUGACACUUUUCGGGGCGUAAACUCCUUUUAUAUGAGAAGAUAAUGACGGUAUCAUAUGAAUAAGCACCGGCUAACUCCGUGCCGGCAGCCGCGGUAAUACGNGGGGUGCAAGCGUUACUCGGAAUCACUGGGCGUAAAGAGCAGAUAGGCGGAUAGAUAAGUUGGAAGUGAAAUCCUAUGGCUUAACCAUAGAACUGCUUCCAAAACUGUCUAUCUAGAAUAUGGGAGAGGUAGAUGGAAUUUCUGGUGUAGGGGUAAAAUGCGUAGAGAUCAGAAGGAAUACCGAUUGCGAAGGCGAUCUACUGGAACAUUAUUGACGCUCAGAUGCGAAAGCGUGGGGAGCAAACAGGAUUAGAUACCCUGGUAGUCCACGCCCUAAACGAUGCACACUAGUUGUUGCCUUGCUAGACAAGGCAGUAAUGCAGUUAACACAGUAAGUGUGCCGCCUGGGGAGUACGGUCGCAAGAUUAAAACUCAAAGGAAUAGACGGGGAC